rnacentral:rRNA from 1 species
GACGAACGCUGGCGGCGUGCUUAACACAUGCAAGUCGAACGGAAAGGCCCUGCUUUUGUGGGGUGCUCGAGUGGCGAACGGGUGAGUAACACGUGAGUAACCUGCCCUUGACUUUGGGAUAACUUCAGGAAACUGGGGCUAAUACCGGAUAGGAGCUCCUGCUGCAUGGUGGGGGUUGGAAAGUUUCGGCGGUUGGGGAUGGACUCGCGGCUUAUCAGCUUGUUGGUGGGGUAGUGGCUUACCAAGGCUUUGACGGGUAGCCGGCCUGAGAGGGUGACCGGCCACAUUGGGACUGAGAUACGGCCCAGACUCCUACGGGAGGCAGCAGUGGGGAAUAUUGCACAAUGGGCGGAAGCCUGAUGCAGCAACGCCGCGUGCGGGAUGACGGCCUUCGGGUUGUAAACCGCUUUCGCCUGUGACGAAGCGUGAGUGACGGUAAUGGGUAAAGAAGCACCGGCUAACUACGUGCCAGCAGCCGCGGUGAUACGUAGGGUGCGAGCGUUGUCCAGAUUUAUUGGGCGUAAAGGGCUCGUAGGUGGUUGAUCGCGUCGGAAGUGUAAUCUUGGGGCUUAACCCUGAGCGUGCUUUCGAUACGGGUUGACUUGAGGAAGGUAGGGGAGAAUGGAAUUCCUGGUGGAGCGGUGGAAUGCGCAGAUAUCAGGAGGAACACCAGUGGCGAAGGCGGUUCUCUGGGCCUUUCCUGACGCUGAGGAGCGAAAGCGUGGGGAGCGAACAGGCCUAGAUACCCUGGUAGUCCACGCUGUAAACGGUGGGUACUAGGUGUGGGGUCCAUUCCACGGGUUCCGUGCCGUAGCUAACGCUUUAAGUACCCCGCCUGGGGAGUACGGCCGCAAGGCUAAAACUCAAAGGAAUUGACGGGGCCCCGCACAAGCGGCGGAGCAUGCGGAUUAAUUCGAUGCAACGCGUAGAACCUUACCUGGGUUUGACAUGGAUCGGGAGUGCUCAGAGAUGGGUGUGCCUCUUUUGGGGUCGGUUCACAGGUGGUGCAUGGCUGUCGUCAGCUCGUGUCGCGAGAUGUUGGGUUAAGUCCCGCAACGAGCGCAACCCUUGUUCACUGUUGCCAGCACGUUAUGGUGGGGACUCAGUGGAGACCGCCGGGGUCAACUCGGAGGAAGGUGGGGAUGACGUCAAGUCAUCAUGCCCCUUAUGUCCAGGGCUUCACGCAUGCUACAAUGGCUGGUACAGAGAGUGGCGAGCCUGUGAGGGUGAGCGAAUCUCGGAAAGCCGGUCUCAGUUCGGAUUGGGGUCUGCAACUCGACCUCAUGAAGUCGGAAUCGCUAGUAAUCGCAGAUCAGCAACGCUGCGGUGAAUACGUUCCCGGG